CGACACAUUGGUGCUGGGAGAUAACAUUCUUGCAAAUUCAGUGCCUUCUGUGUUACACCCUAAGCGCCAGGGCCAGGUGGUCCACAACAACUUGGUCGGGAUAAUCAAAGCUUGGAUUACCUAACUUUCCAUACAUGCUGCCCCUAGAGGCGUUGCAUAUGUGGCUGCGGUGUCACGUGUGUGUCAUCAGGUGGCAGAGAGAAGAGAGGCUUGUCUACGCCCAGUGUUCUGGCCCGUGAACGUCUGGAUGAUUGAUAGUCUGACACUUGACUGCGUGCGAACUGUUGGUGUGUGUUUACAGGCAGCCUGAGGCCUGUCAGCAGGGGUCUGAAAGGUGACCGUGGAAGAGGUGAAAGAUCCUUUGGAGCAUCGUGCACUGGAUUUGAAUACCAGCAGUGAUGGAGCCAAGCGGUUCUCUUACUAAUACGAGAACAGUGACAGCUUGUGACCAUUGGCCAGAAUGACCAGCCAUCACGAUCCAGAGCCAGAUCCGUGGGCCCAGCUCGGUUCUGUGCAGCUGGUCAGUGGAAUAGACCUGCAGGUGUGGGCUCUUGUCACUCCAGGACUCGCUUCAGGACAGAUGGGGUCCUGCUGGAUAGAUGAGCCCGGGGCACUGUGGGCCUCAGCACGCAAGGGCGGCGGAGAGCUGGAAGUCAUGGCCUUGGGAAGUGUCCUCCGAUGAAAAGAACCUGCAGGCUUACAGAGCGGUGGCGUGUUGGCGUGCUGAACAGCAGCUGUGUGCUUCCCCGUCCUGGGUCGGCAGGGCUGAGGCAGCAAGUGCGUGAGAGCCUGAGCAGAGAGCCCCGGGGACCCAGGAGCUCCAGGGGGGCCAGCGAGCGCGGCACAGUGGAAACGGGAGCUGGACCCAGUGGUGGCCUCAAGGCCCUGGGGGCAGUGGUGAUGGCUCAGCAGGCCCCUCAUCUCUGAUCCUGAUUCUUAAAUCCUCUGGCCUCGGGUGUUCAGGGAGUGAGUGGAGCCCAUGGUUCUGAACUGGCCUUCACCAACCUGGCCUUCACCAUGUGGAUCAUCUUCCCCACACAAGGAGGGGAAUUUAGGUGAAAAGCAAGUUGACCCAUUUGGGAUGAGGUUUAAGGAGCCCAGUGCUGAGAAUGUGGGUGUUUAGUUGAAAUCUUGGGACAAUGUCUUUUAUGCAAAAGAUACUAAAGUGAAUGGAAGGGUUUGUAUAAUGCAUUUUUUUUCCAAGGAGGGUGUGUCUGUUGGCAAAUCUAGAGAAUAAAUUGGUCUUGAAUAAACUGU